rnacentral:rRNA from 1 species
GGAAAGGCGCGCGAUACAGGGUGACAGCCCCGUACACAAAAAUGCACAUGCUGUGAGCUCGAUGAGUAGGGCGGGACACGUGGUAUCCUGUCUGAAUAUGGGGGGACCAUCCUCCAAGGCUAAAUACUCCUGACUGACCGAUAGUGAACCAGUACCGUGAGGGAAAGGCGAAAAGAACCCCGGCGAGGGGAGUGAAAAAGAACCUGAAACCGUGUACGUACAAGCAGUGGGAGCACGCUUAGGCGUGUGACUGCGUACCUUUUGUAUAAUGGGUCAGCGACUUAUAUUCUGUAGCAAGGUUAACCGAAUAGGGGAGCCGAAGGGAAACCGAGUCUUAACUGGGCGUUAAGUUGCAGGGUAUAGACCCGAAACCCGGUGAUCUAGCCAUGGGCAGGUUGAAGGUUGGGUAACACUAACUGGAGGACCGAACCGACUAAUGUUGAAAAAUUAGCGGAUGACUUGUGGCUGGGGGUGAAAGGCCAAUCAAACCGGGAGAUAGCUGGUUCUCCCCGAAAGCUAUUUAGGUAGCGCCUCGUGAAUUCAUCUCCGGGGGUAGAGCACUGUUUCGGCAAGGGGGUCAUCCCGACUUACCAACCCGAUGCAAACUGCGAAUACCGGAGAAUGUUAUCACGGGAGACACACGGCGGGUGCUAACGUCCGUCGUGAAGAGGGAAACAACCCAGACCGCCAGCUAAGGUCCCAAAGUCAUGGUUAAGUGGGAAACGAUGUGGGAAGGCCCAGACAGCCAGGAUGUUGGCUUAGAAGCAGCCAUCAUUUAAAGAAAGCGUAAUAGCUCACUGGUCGAGUCGGCCUGCGCGGAAGAUGUAACGGGGCUAAACCAUGCACCGAAGCUGCGGCAGCGACGCUUAUGCGUUGUUGGGUAGGGGAGCGUUCUGUAAGCCUGUGAAGGUGUGCUGUGAGGCAUGCUGGAGGUAUCAGAAGUGCGAAUGCUGACAUAAGUAACGAUAAAGCGGGUGAAAAGCCCGCUCGCCGGAAGACCAAGGGUUCCUGUCCAACGUUAAUCGGGGCAGGGUGAGUCGACCCCUAAGGCGAGGCCGAAAGGCGUAGUCGAUGGGAAACAGGUUAAUAUUCCUGUACUUGGUGUUACUGCGAAGGGGGGACGGAGAAGGCUAUGUUGGCCGGGCGACGGUUGUCCCGGUUUAAGCGUGUAGGCUGGUUUUCCAGGCAAAUCCGGAAAAUCAAGGCUGAGGCGUGAUGACGAGGCACUACGGUGCUGAAGCAACAAAUGCCCUGCUUCCAGGAAAAGCCUCUAAGCAUCAGGUAACAUCAAAUCGUACCCCAAACCGACACAGGUGGUCAGGUAGAGAAUACCAAGGCGCUUGAGAGAACUCGGGUGAAGGAACUAGGCAAAAUGGUGCCGUAACUUCGGGAGAAGGCACGCUGAUAUGUAGGUGAAGUCCCUCGCGGAUGGAGCUGAAAUCAGUCGAAGAUACCAGCUGGCUGCAACUGUUUAUUAAAAACACAGCACUGUGCAAACACGAAAGUGGACGUAUACGGUGUGACGCCUGCCCGGUGCCGGAAGGU